rnacentral:rRNA from 1 species
AGAUUGAACGCUGGCGGCAUGCCUUACACAUGCAAGUCGAACGGUAACAGGUUAAGCUGACGAGUGGCGAACGGGUGAGUAAUACAUCGGAACGUGCCCAGUAGUGGGGGAUAGCCCGGCGAAAGCCGGACUAAUACCGCAUACGACCUACGGGUGAAAGCAGGGGAUCGCAAGACCUUGCGUUAUUGGAGCGGCCGAUGUCAGAUUAGCUUGUUGGCGGGGUAAAAGCCCACCAAGGCGACGAUCUGUAGCUGGUCUGAGAGGACGACCAGCCACACUGGGACUGAGACACGGCCCAGACUCCUACGGGAGGCAGCAGUGGGGAAUUUUGGACAAUGGGCGCAAGCCUGAUCCAGCCAUGCCGCGUGCGGGAAGAAGGCCUUCGGGUUGUAACCGCUUUGUCAGGGAAGAAACGCUCCGGAUUAAUACCUCGGAGUAAUGACGGUACCUGAAGAAUAAGCACCGGCUAACUACGUGCCAGCAGCCGCGGU